CAAGACCUGGUAGAGCCUACGCUCAGAAGUCACAUGACAUUUUUGCCACAUUCCACUGGUAACGAUAAGUCACAAAGGCAGCCCGGAUUCUGGGGUGAGGAAACAGACUCUCUACCUGUUGAUACAUGGACAGCCAAGAAUCAACAGUUUGAGGAAAGCCACCAACACUAAAGACAGAGAGCAAAACCGAGAUAGUGAAAGAGAAGACACCGCAUCCAUGAAACUACAACAACAUGUGUCAAGGGUUCCCAACAUUACAGACCAAGGCCUUCAAAAUCUGAAGGGAAGAUAAUUUGCAACAGACUUCUGUA